GUAAACGAUGAGUGCUAAGUGUUGGAGGGUUUCCGCCCUUCAGUGCUGCAGCUAACGCAUUAAGCACUCCGCCUGGGGAGUACGACCGCAAGGUUGAAACUCAAAGGAAUUGACGGGGGCCCGCACAAGCGGUGGAGCAUGUGGUUUAAUUCGAAGCAACGCGAAGAACCUUACCAGGUCUUGACAUCCUCUGACAACCCUAGAGAUAGAGCUUUCCCUUCGGGGACAGAGUGACAGGUGGUGCAUGGUUGUCGUCAGCUCGUGUCGUGAGAUGUUGGGUUAAGUCCCGCAACGAGCGCAACCCUUGUCGUUAGUUGCCAUCAUUCAGUUGGGCACUCUAGCGAGACUGCCGGUGACAAACCGGAGGAAGGUGGGGAUGACGUCAAAUCAUCAUACCCCUUAUGACCUGGGCUACACACGUGCUACAAUGGACGGUACAACGAGCAGCGAACUCGCGAGGGCAAGCGAAUCUCUUAAAGCCGUUCUCAGUUCGGAUUGCAGGCUGCAACUCGCCUGCAUGAAGCCGGAAUCGCUAGUAAUCGUGGAUCAGCAUGCCACGGUGAAUACGUUCCCGGGCCUUGUACACACCGCCCGUCACACCACGAGAGUUUGUAACACCCAAAGUCGGUGCGGUAACCUUUUGGAGCCAGCCGCCUAAGGUGGGAUAGAUGAUUGGGGUG
rnacentral:rRNA from 1 species